GAUGGAUCCUGAUGAGAUCGAAGAGGAACAGCGGGAGAGGGAGAGGAAAAACAGAACGAACAUGGAUUUCCAGAACUUUGUCAACAAGGUGCACGACAUUUGGUCGCAGCCACAGUUCAAAGGUCUGGAACUGGAGUUUGAUCAGCCUCUUCGUGAGCUUGGGUUCCAUGGAGUUCCUCACAAGUCUUCAGCUUUCAUCGUCCCGACUUCCUCCUGUCUGGUUGAAUUGAUUGAGCUACCUUUUGUGGUUAUCACAUUGGGCGAGAUUGAGAUUGUCAAUCUGGAGAGGGUAGGCCUUGGACAGAAAAACUUUGAUAUGGCCAUCGUGUUUAAAGACUUUAAAAGAGACG
rnacentral:misc_RNA from 1 species